rnacentral:rRNA from 1 species
CCCGGCACAAGCGGUGGAGCAUGUGGUUUAAUUCGACGCAACGCGAAGAACCUUACCAGGUCUUGACAUCCCUUGACAGCCUCAGAGAUGAGGUGUUCUAGCUUCGGUUAGACAAGGAGACAGGUGGUGCAUGGUUGUCGUCAGCUCGUGUCGUGAGAUGUUGGGUUAAGUCCCGCAACGAGCGCAACCCUUGUUCUUAGUUGCCAUCAGGUAAUGCUGGGCACUCUAAGGAUACUGCCGGUGACAAACCGGAGGAAGGUGGGGAUGACGUCAAAUCAUCAUGCCCUUUAUGACCUGGGCUACACACGUGCUACAAUGGCCUAUACAAAGGGUUGCGAAGCUGUGAAGUGGAGCCAAUCCCAAAAAGUAGGUCUCAGUUCGGAUUGUAGGCUGCAACUCGCCUACAUGAAGUCGGAAUCGCUAGUAAUCGCGGAUCAGCAUGCCGCGGUGAAUACGUUCCCGGGCCUU